rnacentral:lncRNA from 1 species
GCUAGAGGGUUCUUCUCCACACAUGACACAUAAGCAACCUAAAUUGAUUUUCAGUUGUUCUUUCAAUAAGUUGUGAAUUUCAAUACUCCAGAUUAACCGUGAACAGCACUUUUUUAAUCUUCAAGUUUUCCUUAAGUUAUUGAAUUGGACGGAAAAACGCAUACAACAAUUCAAAACAUUCUUCAAAAGUCCCCUACGUGAAAAGCACAAUAGUGAUACAAUCAAAGAUCAUUAAACUUUGUGAAAACUAUAAGCAUUGACGAGGCAUUCGUAACUAUGAAAAG